GCCUGGGUGGCUCAGCCGGUUGAGCCUCCGACUUCAGCUCAGGUCAUGAUCUCACGGUCUGUGGGUUCGAGCCCCGCGUCGGGCU
rnacentral:tRNA from 1 species